rnacentral:lncRNA from 1 species
AUGAGACCCAUCCUGGUAGUCGUUACUUGUCUUCUUACAGAAAGUCUAGCGCUUCCACUCAGCCAAGAGGGACAGAGAGAAGACGUGGUAACACGAUGUUUGGCUGAAGUCCUGUCCAAAGCUCUCUCCACACCGGACGCUCAGUUGGAUCAGGAAUGCAGAGACAUCAUAAAAGCAGGGGUUAAUCACGCCUCGCUGAGCAAGAAGAGCAGCGAUGGACUCGUAACACAAGAGGAGGCGUCUAAAGGUCACACUGAGGAACCUGCAGCAAAGGCAGCAGAUGUGAAAGACAUUGAAGCGCUUCUGAAAUCCGUGGAGGAGGAGAGAGCAAACCUUGAAGAUGAGCACAAUCAGCAAUCCUGGAGUCUGGGAGACAGAACGUCAGAGAAUGGAGAUGGAGGAGAACGGGUGAAAAGGAGCAGCUGGAGGCUUGGAAGGUACCGCCAGAGGAAAAGCAAACGCGGAGAGGAGGAAGAUUUUGAGCGUAGUCAGGAGAGCUGGGGAGGCACGGAAAAGAGGUCGGAGGAUGAAGAAGUGGCCGAGGAAAGUGAAGAAAAAGAGAAGAGGAGCUGGAGACCCGGCAGGUAUCAUCAAAGAAGACACAAGCGAGAUGACGGAGAAGAAGAAGAACCGGAGGAAGAGCGCAGCCAGGAGUCCUGGGAUGUAAACAAAAGGUACGAGGAUGAGGAGGAAAGAGAUAAGCGCAUAUGGAAGCCCACACAUCGUUACCAUCACAAGUCAAGGCUCCACAAGCGCAGCGAUGAUCCGCUGGAGGGCGAGGUUGAUGAGGACCGCAGCCAGGAGUCUUGGAGUGUUGACAAGAAGAACUGGAGGCCUGGAAGGUAUCACCAGAGGAGACAUAAGCGUGAUGAAGAACCUCUGGAAAACGCUCGGGAAGAACCGGAUGAAGAACGCAGUCAGGAAUACUGGGAUGUUGAUACUGGAGUAGAGAAACGGAACUGGAGGCCAGGCAGAAUCCACCAAAGGAGACACAAGCGUGAUGAAGAACGCAGUCAGGAAUACUGGGAUUUUGAUACUGGAGUAGAGAAACGGAACUGGAGGCCGGGCAGAUUCCACCAAAGGAGACAACGACGUGAUGAAGAGCCAUCCGAGGGCAACCGGGAAGAACCGGAUGAAGAACGCAGUCAGGAAUACUGGGAUUUUGAUACAGGAAUGGAGAAACGGAACUGGAGGCCGGGCAGAUUCCACCAGAGGAGACAACGACGUGAUGAAGAGCUACCAGAGGAGGCCAGAGAGGAACCGGAAGGAGGACGCAGUCAGGAGGACUGGGGUUAUGAAAAGAGACAGGAAACAGAAGAGGGAGAAAUAGAGAAAAGGAUAUGGAAGCCGACACACAGAUACCACCAUAAACAAAGACUUAACAAGCGAGCAGGAGGACCGUCGGAGGAAGAGCAGAGGGGAACUUCGGAUGAAUACACAGAAGAUGAGAAAGACAGAGAUGAAGCUUUGAGGUAUCUGGCUGAGAAGCGUAAUCCCUGGAUCUCCAGAGGCUACUACCACCCUGCCUGGUAUAAACGGGAUUCAGAGGAACCAGCUGCUGCUUCAAACAAGAUGGACCAACUGGCCCAGCUGCUGAGCUACAGGAUCAACCAGCUGGCUCACCACUCUGCUCAGGAGGAGGCAAAGACGACGAGGGCGCUCACUCCACCGGAGGAGAACGAGCUGGAGAACCUGGCAGCGAUGGACACGGAGCUGCGGAAAAUUGCAGCCAAGCUGCACGACAAGCCCGCGUGA